UCGGGCUGCUGAAUUAGAGAUCGGCGCCUGCAUUUUUUUAUCUAUAAUUUGGAGUAUUACAAUGUCUCUAAGUGUUGAAGCUAAAGCUAAAAUCGUAGCUGAUUUCGGUCGUGGUACU
rnacentral:ncRNA from 1 species